AGCAGCAGCCUCCCCAGCCCCCAGUAAGUGAGGACACAGCAGCCCCUUCCAUUGUGUUUUUCAUGACAAUCCCUUUCCCAACAAAGAUGACUUGAGCGGGCGGUGAAAUUAUCCCACAAGCAGCCACAGCCCGUAACCAGGACUCAGUUCUGCUCUUUUCCUGUCUCCAGCACCUGCCUCUCCAAGCCCUGUCUGGGCUCCCCCAAGACAAGCUGCCCAUUGAGGGUGAGAUCAGGCUGAGGCAGCCAGCACAGAGGUGGUAUGGGAUUGGUGGGCCCCGGGCAGCAGCUCACUGUACAGGGAGGACAGCGUCUAACGCCACAACAGCGUUUUCAAACUGGAAGCCCCAGCGCUGCAUCUACUCAGGGACACGUUUUCGAGGGCCUGCCAAGCAUUCCUGCUUGGUGAGAAUUGGCUGGAGCUGAGCAGGAGCUGUCCCCUUAGAAGGCAUACUAACAGAUCCUGUGUCCUGCAACAAAAUGGUCAGAAGGGGUUUCUGAAGAUGACUGUGGCAGAUGAUGGUAAAUGGUCCCCUGACCAGUCAGGGAUGU